AAUGAAACUCUUAUGGAUUAAUUGUAUUUGUUUAGGUGCUGUUGCACAUGUUGUUUGAGCAUGCGUCCGGCUACGCGUUGUUUGUCGUGAAAGAGGUGGAGGAGAUCAGCAUGCUGCUGCCCCAGGUGGAGCAGUGUGUGCUGAGUCUGGCUAAAUUCAAUAGUAUGGUGAGCCUGGCUGCCUUUUUCCCCUUUAAAUCAGCACAAUCUGCCCUUGAGAACAUUAAUGCCAUUUCUGAAGGUAAGCUUUCUUUCCUUAAGUUUCUUGAAAUGUAUUGACUGAUUCAGAAUUCUUGUAAGCACGUUUCUCCCAUCCGUUAUUGUUUUUACUGCCCUCGGGUGUGGUGAUGUUUUCAAAUCUGUCAAUCCACUGAAAGACUGUGAUGACAGCCUUAUGUUCAACCUGAACAUCCGAGGGUACGAUUAUGC